AAGAGUUUUCAACCAUCAAAACUGCAACUAGAUUACGACCAUUUGGUUUUGGUUACAAAUUUGUAUUUAUAUUUCUAAUUUUCUAUUGACCCAAGUUUGUAACCCAAACCCAAACCAAUUGCAUAUAGUUGUGUUCUUGUUCCAUUAUUUUUAUGGUUUGUGCUAGUGGGCUAUUACAUAUCAAACCCAAAAAUGAACUUAAUAUUUUACUCUUUAAUUUACCUAGUACGUAAAGAUGAUGCUAUCAUCCUUUAGAUUUGUUUUCUUCAUCAUCAAACAUUAUCAUGCCAUAUCCUGAAAAUUUUAUUCUAAACUUCAGUGGAGGUUUGAUCAAAAAAAAAAAAAACUUCAAUGGAGAUAAAACAAAAAAUAAGAAGCAAAGGAACUCAAUAUUGCACCUAAUAAUCAGAGCCUAGAAACAAGCGAGCGUCGACCUCCUUGCUUUAAAUCCAUUCUAUCUACAUGGUUAAAGUUUUCUCAAACCGAUCCUGGGAAACCACUUGAUGAUCGUCCAUAAAACCUGAGAACCUCUUCUUCAUAGAAGCUCGCCCUCUUUCCCUAUCAUUUCCAAAUAGUCUCUUUUUGCUAAUCAACUAAGUUUUACAAAUCAUAAAGAUCGCUGCUUCAUCAAGUUUUAUUAGUUUGAUGCAAUAUAACUAACCCUU
rnacentral:lncRNA from 1 species